rnacentral:tRNA from 1 species
GGAGAAAUGCCGGAGUGGUCGAACGGGGCAGACUCGAAAUCUGUUGUACCGCCUAGCGGUACCGGGGGUUCGAAUCCCUCUUUCUCCGCAA